AACUUAGCUUGCUAAGUUUGAUGGCGACCGGCGCACGGGUGAGUAACACGUAUCCCACCUUCCGUUUACUCAUGGAUAGCCUUUCGAAAGAAAGAUUAAUACCUGAUAGUAUGGUGAGAUUGCAUGAUAGCACCAUUAAAGAUUUAUUGGUAAACGAUGGGGAUGCGUUCCAUUAGGUAGUAGGCGGGGUAACGGCCCACCUAGCCGACGAUGGAUAGGGGUUCUGAGAGGAAGGUCCCCCACAUUGGAACUGAGACACGGUCCAAACUCCUACGGGAGGCAGCAGUGAGGAAUAUUGGUCAAUGGGCGAGAGCCUGAACCAGCCAAGUAGCGUGAAGGAUGAAGGUCCUACGGAUUGUAAACUUCUUUUAUACGGGAAUAAAGUAUCCUACGUGUAGGAUUUUGUAUGUACCGUAUGAAUAAGCAUCGGCUAACUCCGUGCCAGCAGCCGCGGUAAUACGGAGGAUGCGAGCGUUAUCCGGAUUUAUUGGGUUUAAAGGGAGCGCAGACGGGAGAUUAAGUCAGUUGUGAAAGUUUGCGGCUCAACCGUAAAAUUGCAGUUGAUACUGGUUUCCUUGAGUGCAGUUGAGGCAGGCGGAAUUCGUGGUGUAGCGGUGAAAUGCUUAGAUAUCACGAAGAACCCCGAUUGCGAAGGCAGCUUGCUAAACUGUAACUGACGUUCAUGCUCGAAAGUGUGGGUAUCAAACAGGAUUAGAUACCCUGGUAGUCCACACGGUAAACGAUGGAUACUCGCUGUUGGCGAUAUACUGUCAGCGGCCAAGCGAAAGCAUUAAGUAUCCCACCUGGGGAGUACGCCGGCAACGGUGAAACUCAAAGGAAUUGACGGGGGCCCGCACAAGCGGAGGAACAUGUGGUUUAAUU
rnacentral:rRNA from 1 species